GUGAGGAAUUUUCCGCAAUGGGCGAAAGCCUGACGGAGCAAUGCCGCGUGAAGGAUGAAGGCCUAUGGGUUGUAAACUUCUUUUCUCAGAAAAGAAUUAUGACGGUAUCUGAGGAAUAAGCAUCGGCUAACUCUGUGCCAGCAGCCGCGGUAAGACAGAGGAUGCAAGCGUUAUCCGGAAUGAUUGGGCGUAAAGCGUCUGUAGGUUGUUUAAAAAGUAUUCUGUCAAAGAUUAGGGCUUAACCCUAGAUAGGCAGAAUAAACUUUUAAGCUAGAGUUUGGUAGAGGCAGAGGGAAUUCCCGGUGGAGCGGUGAAAUGCGUAGAUAUCGGGAGGAACACCAAAGGCGAAGGCACUCUGCUGGGCCAAUACUAACACUGAGAGACGAAAGCGAGGGGAGCAAAUGGGAUUAGAAACCCGAGUAGUCC
rnacentral:rRNA from 1 species